rnacentral:rRNA from 1 species
UGCAGCGACGCCGCGUGAGCGAUGAAGCCCUUCGGGGUGUAAAGCUCUUUCGGCAGGGACGAUAAUGACGGUACCUGAAGAAGAAGCUGCGGCUAACUACGUGCCAGCAGCCGCGGUAAUACGUAGGCAGCGAGCGUUGUUCGGAGUUACUGGGCGUAAAGAGUGCGUAGGCGGUUUUCUAAGUUUGGUGUGAAAUCUCCCGGCUUAACUGGGAGGGUGCGCCGAAAACUGGAAGGCUUGAGUAUGGGAGAGGUAAGCGGAAUUCCUGGUGUAGCGGUGAAAUGCGUAGAUAUCAGGAGGAACACCUGCGGUGUAGACGGCUUACUGGACCAUAACUGACGCUGAGGCACGAAAGCGUGGGUAGCAAACAGGAUUAGAUACCCUGGUAGUCCACGCCCUAAACGAUGCAUACUUGGUGUGGGUAGUUCAUUCUAUCCGUGCCGGAGCUAACGCGUUAAGUAUGCCGCCUGGGGAGUACGGUCGCAAGGCUG